rnacentral:ncRNA from 1 species
UGCGCAGCGCAUGCUUGAUCACCACGCUCCUGAAGGAAAGGCCCUUGAGGCGGGCGGUGCGGAUAUAUUGCUGCGUCAUCACCUCGACCAUCGAGGCACGCGUCAUGCGCGCGAUAUAGCCGGUGCCGUAGAUCGCCAGCGUGAUCACCGGCAGGGUGAAAUUAUAGAAGGUGAUGC